UUUUGAAGAGAGGUACAGCAAUCUAAGCAGUCAAUGGAUGCGGGGUGUUGGAAACAGCGAGGUGAGGAAAAUGACAGCAGGCUAGUCGGCGAGCUGGCGUAUCUGUUGAUGGAAUCUUCCCCUCUUGUGGUUGCUAUCGUUUCCAUUGGAUUGUUUAUUAUUGAACGUAGUGUUUCGGUUAUGCGAAAAAAAUGUUCAAGCUUUUGAAAGGAAUCGACCAGAAGAAUCGCAAGAGAAUUGAAUGGGAGGAUGUUAUCCAUAGCCAAGGAAAACUGAUCGGUGAAUACAGGCCACAAUGUAGCAUUGCUUAAUCGUUGAAAAUGUCGAGUGUGUACUACGCUGACCUGUAACACAUACUGCUCAAUAAAAUGCGAUUUAAUUUUGCAUGUUUUUUGGAA